AAUGUCAUCAGAGGAUAAGACUGUGGAGCCCUCUGACCAGGGACCCUCGCUGCCCUCCGGCAGUGCAGGGGCCACGUCCACAGGAAGCCCUGCCCAGACAGACAAGCGCCCCAGGGGCAGGCCGCGCAAGGAUGCUGCCACAACCACCACCAUUGCACCCCAGGCGCCACCCACAUCCAAGACCAGGAAGAAACGUAUAUCUGCUGUAGACGUUGGGCACCAGAGAAGCCCCUUACGGCCUCUCUCCUAUCAGACAGUGACAGAGGGAGAGAGGAGCUGGAGAUGUCUGGGAACAGCGAUGCAUUUUUUAAUUUAUCCUGGUGUCUGUCUACUCUACACCCCCGUGCCGUCAUCACAGGGAUGCUCCUGGGCUUUGAGGUCGUGGGUUACAACAUUAUGGAGCUCUCGUCACUGUUAGAGCUGGGCUUAUUUUGGGCCUUAUGGACUCUUAAAUACGUGUUGCCGUGACUAUGCCUCAUUACAGAAAUAAAGAUCAGGGCUAUCUAGUGUCUACUUCACUAAUCAUUUAUUGAUUUGGUACUUUCAGUUAGUUUGGCUGUUUUUUUGCUUCACUGUUUCCUGCCCAAUGCAGAGGCUUGAACUGUGACAUUUAGGUUUCCAUCUUGUUGCUUCUUAUCUGGAGUGGGAAGUCAUUUGGCGGGAGGAGUUGACUUGGCAAACUGUCUGAUUUGUGUUUUCUUUCUCCAGUGGCAUCGAAAAUUACCCCGUCCCCCUGCAUCCUCCCCACUACCCCCGCAAAAUGCUGGCUGCUCUCAUUUAGACUGUGUUUGCUCUUCCCACUUAGUGGGCUCACUGCACGUGGUGCUGUUUAAUUUGUAUCCAUGACAUUUAUCACCUCGACAUGGCCCUCAGAUUGGGUUAAGACAGAACUCCUACUGGAGGAUCCUGACACUGACAGAUCUGUGUGUGUGUGUGUGCUGUUUAUGCACUCUCCAUUGAUGUGUUUGUUAACUUUGCUCUGCAGACUGUUAAUUUCAAUAAAAAGAAGAAAAGGUAACAUCACCUUGUUUGCAGGUCUGAGUUUUGACUGUAGCAACUAUAUAUGUGUCUUUAACUCUGCCCUAGUGUCACUUACAGAUAAGUUGACAUCAUCAUCAUCAAAGGAGACGUAGCCUAGAGGUGAAGAGUGGGGUAGGCUAGUGAUGGUGUGAGAGGUGAAGGGUGGGGUAGGCUAGUGAUGGUGUGAAGGGUGGGUUAGGCUAGUGAUGGCGUGAGAGGUGAAGGGUGGGUUAGGCUAGUGAUGGUGUGAGAGGUGAAGGGUGGGGUAGGCUAGUGAUGGUGUGAGAGGUGAAGGGUGGGGUAGGCUAGUGAUGGUGUGAGAGGUGAAGGGUGGGGUAGGCUAGUGAUGGUGUGAGAGGUGAAGGGUGGGGUAGGCUAGUGA
rnacentral:lncRNA from 1 species